rnacentral:rRNA from 1 species
UACGAAGGGUGCAAGCGUUACUCGGAAUUACUGGGCGUAAAGCGUGCGUAGGUGGUUUGUUAAGUCUGUUGUGAAAGCCCCGGGCUCAACCUGGGAAUGGCAAUGGAUACUGGCAAGCUAGAGUGCGGUAGAGGGGUGUGGAAUUCCCGGUGUAGCGGUGAAAUGCGUAGAGAUCGGGAGGAACACCAGUGGCGAAGGCGGCACCCUGGACCAGCACUGACACUGAGGCACGAAAGCGUGGGGAGCAAACAGG